ensembl:miRNA mdo-mir-12394 mdo-mir-12394
UCAAAGGAGCGGUUGAUGAGAUGUUAAAUAACCUGUUGACUCUCUUCCCUACUCCUUGUUC